UUCCCCAAAUCGAACAUGUUGGAGGAGUACGAGAAGCUGGCCGCCGCCGUGCCCGACGGCUCCGCCAAGCUCCGGGUCUUCCUCUUCCCGGCCUCCGGGGCCGACCAGCCCGCCUCCGGCUCCGGCUCGCACCUCACCGCCGUCGACGAGACCGGGCAGCGCUACAUCGACGCCAUCAAAUGCGUCUCCGCCAACGCCGUCGCGGCCAUCCGCCGCAGGGAGAGCGUUGCCACGGCGGCUCGUCCGCGCACAACUCCAAGGCCUCCGAGCCCGCCGGCCUCGCGGAAGUCGCUGGGAUUUAGUGUUCUCACAUCGUCAACCCCGGCAAUGGGCAUUCCGGCGCACAACCCAGGCGCGCCCGACCGCCGGGAUGGCCGAAAGGAGCCUCUGGGUAGUUCGAUUGGCUUCCCUUCUUGCAGUCGAAUUCAUGGUCGGGUCCGUCGAGGCCAGCCCGGGAGAUGCUCAUCCGUUGUACAGGGCGACCAUGUAGAUGAGUUUCAGCAGCUCUGUGAGGUACAGAGCGACAAAGCAACCAUUGAAAUUACAAGUCGUUUCAGGGGAACAGUACAUCAGAUUCAGUUUGCACCUCGUGACAUAGUGAAGGUCGGUGAACAAAUCCAGGAGUUCUCCGUCAUCGGCAAGUACGACGACCCGCUCGACCCGGCUGGCUGUUUUCUCGACCUUGCCGCCAUCCACGCCAGGGAGGAGGCCGCCCUCAGCCGCAUCUAUCUUCUUUUUUUGGCAAGACAAGGCGCCAUGGCUAAGGUAUACAAAGAAAGACUGGUCAAACAGUGCAAGGCUCUCUCUCUUGACUCUUGUUGUUACUUGUUGCUGAUAAUGCUCAGUGAUAAUUCUGAAGUAUGGCUACUGUCCCUACGAUCUUGAUACAAGAAAUUGAUGAAGCAACAGGGAAGGACCGGAUCCGGAUGGACGUGUACUUUACAUGAGAUGGAAUGGAUAGAUGCAGAUAUGAGAGUAGAUGGAUGGGCAUUAAAUCGACGGCCCAUUCAAUGGAUAGCUCCAAAACCAAAGUCUCCGUUGGAUGUACGGCGUGCGAUGGAUGUGAUCACACGAUGGAACAGGAGAACAUUUUGUAGUAAAGCUGGAACAUUAAUCAUUAAGGUGUGGUCGUCGAGCCGCUCCGGCGGUGCAUGGACAGAGCAAGGGAGAUACUUGAGAUAAAAUCAGGAGGUCUAGUUGUUUGGACAAAAGGAGACAUUCAUUUUGUUUACAGAUGAAGUAGUUAUCUAGAAAACAUAAAACAUCGUCAGAAGUCCAUAGCUGAUAUUCAGAGAGUUCCCCUUGAAAGAUGCACUACGCCUGAACCCCAGUGGAAACACGAAAGCAACGCUGACAUACCUGCGCAAGCUUACACGUCCUUUGCCAACACUAGCAGAUGAGGAGCUAACAUACCUGCGCAAGCUUGCACGUCCUUUGCCAACACAUUUUGCUCUAGGAUGAUUAAGUAUUAACUGCUUCCGGCACCCUUACCUUCUUAUGCAUACAUCACCUUAAUGUUCCACACAAAAUAAUGUAGAAGCACAAGAAAAAUGGUUUUUCAGAUUCCUCGGUCCUCUGCAAUUUCUUUGCUACAAAAAAUACGGCAGCUAGGAGGCAUUGCCAUUAUGCAUACAUUGGUGGCCUGCCUCCAUCAAACUGAACCUGAGCAACGGGUUUUAGCGGCUAAUCUUCUCCUUCAAUUGGAUAUGCUGAUAAAAUCAAAAAUUGGGCCAAGAGUUGCUGUUGUUGUGAGCACGCGACAGGAAAGGAACGACGCCAUAGUUGAGCUAAGAGAAAAACAGGACAAAAAAUUGUCAAGCAAGAUUGAAGUUCCAAUUGGGCCUCUUCCCUGGGCGCCACUCUCCCGCUGCUCCUCCGACCCAAGUGCCGACAAAAUGGAGCUCGC